rnacentral:rRNA from 1 species
ACCCGCUGAACUUAAGCAUAUCAAUAAGCGGAGGAAAAGAAACUAACAAGGAUUCCCCUAGUAACUGCGAGUGAAGCGGGAAAAGCUCAAAUUUAAAAUCUGGUAGUCUUUGGCUGCCCGAGUUGUAAUCUAGAGAAGUGUUACCCGUGCUGGACCGUGUACAAGUCUCCUGGAAUGGAGCGUCAUAGAGGGUGAGAAUCCCGUCUUUGACACGGACUCCCAGUGCUUUUGUGGUGCGCUCUCAACGAGUCGAGUUGUUUGGGAAUGCAGCUCAAAAUGGGUGGUGAAUUCCAUCUAAAGCUAAAUAUUGGCGAGAGACCGAUAGCGAACAAGUGCCGUGAGGGAAAGAUGAAAAGAACUUUGGAAAGAGAGUUAAACAGUACGUGAAAUUGUUGAAAGGGAAACGCUUGAAGUCAGUCGCGUUGUCCAGAAAUCAACCUUGGUUCUCCUGGGUGUACUUUCUGGUUCAACGGGUCAGCAUCAGUUUUGAUCGAUGGAGAAAGUCCAAGGGAAUGUGGCAUCUUCGGAUGUGUUAUAGCCCUCGGUCGUAUGCAUCGGUUGGGACUGAGGAAUUCAGCACGCCGCAAGGCCGGGGUUCGCCCACGUACGUGCUUAGGAUGCUGGCAUAAUGGCUUU